UACGAAGGGGGCUAGCGUUGUUCGGAAUUACUGGGCGUAAAGCGCACGUAGGCGGAUAUUUAAGUCAGGGGUGAAAUCCCAGAGCUCAACUCUGGAACUGCCUUUGAUACUGGGUAUCUCGAGUAUGGAAGAGGUGAGUGGAAUUCCGAGUGUAGAGGUGAAAUUCGUAGAUAUUCGGAGGAACACCAGUGGCGAAGGCGGCUCACUGGACCACAACUGACGCUGAGGCGCGAAAGCUAGGGGAGCAAACAGG
rnacentral:rRNA from 1 species